CAUCUGUUGAAUUUACUUCAUAGAAAUGGUUUAGUGUUUUCGAACAAGUCCGUGAGGAUCUUAACCGUUAUCAGAGGAGAUUCUUCUAGUGCUUGAUGGCCUUCUGUAUCCCAUGAUGAGCAAACCUCCUGUCCAACAACAUCUCCAAGGCACACUGAACCAUAUGACUAGCAGUGAAAAAUACAUUGUGGACCAAAGAGGAAACUGACAACACACUGACAGAAGAAGACAAGAGAAGGUCACUUCUGAUCCAUCAAUGUCCUCAUCUUCUGUGUCUGAAUUGAACAACUGGGCAACAGCUUUUGAACAGGUUUCGCCAUCAAACAUGCCAGGUUCCCUCUCAUCAUGGUUGAUCGCUGCCAGUGUACGUAUUACGUCCCUGUGUCAGCGGGAAAUGGUCCGACAGUCAGGUAAACAGAGCGCUUACCAAAGUCGCACAACAACAUUUUUACAGAUUUUGGAACUCAGUGCACACAUAAGGCGCACCGGAUUAUCAGGUGCACGCAUGAUUUUUGAGAAAAUGAAAGGCUCUUAGAUGCACCUUAUAUUGUGGAAAAUAUGGUAAUUUGUUUGUCAGGCAAGAUGGCAGUAUUGGCGUUAUGAUAGGUCAGAUCACUUGUCAAUCAAGCUCACUGUGAACGUUCAAUGACAUUUUAACAUGUAUUCACAAAGAAAACAUCUCAUAAUGUUUCAUUUCUGUUAAAUGUGAUGAAAUAAAUCAUCUUUUGUGUGAAAUAUGAACAGCUAUGCUAAUCUUUCUCCUUUUGUUUUCCUGUUUCUCCAGCCUCGCGUGUGGAGACUUCAGAAGAUGCCAGACCUCACAAAGAUUUCAGAUGAUGGGAACUAUAGAUAAACAUGCAAAGCUGCUAAAUAAUCCUUAUAUUGUAAUCAUUGCCCU